GAUGAACGCUAGCGGCAGGCUUAAUACAUGCAAGUCGAGGGGUAGCAAGAUUGUAGCAAUACAAUUGUUGACGACCGGCAAACGGGUGCGGAACACGUACACAACCUUCCUACAAGUGGGGAAUAGCCCAGAGAAAUUUGGAUUAAUACCCCGUAACAUAGCGAUGUGGCAUCACAUUGCUAUUAUAGCUUCGGCGCUUGUUGAUGGGUGUGCGGCUGAUUAGAUAGUUGGCGGGGUAACGGCCCACCAAGUCUACGAUCAGUAGCUGAUGUGACAGCAUGAUCAGCCACACGGGAACUGAGACACGGGCCCGACUCCUACGGGAGGCAGCAGUAAUGAAUAUUGGACAAUGGACGCAAGUCUGAUCCAGCCAUGCCGCGUGAAGGAUUAAGGUCCUCUGGAUUGUAAACUUCUUUUAUAAGGGACGAAAAAAGGUCUUUCUAGAUCGUCUGACGGUACCUUAUGAAUAAGCACCGGCUAACUCCGUGCCAGCCGCCGCAGUAACAC
rnacentral:rRNA from 1 species